rfam:Parcubacteria (Azambacteria) bacterium GW2011_GWA1_44_9 TW78_C0005, whole genome shotgun sequence.
GGCGUGGUGGCCAAGUGGUAAGGCGGGGGACUGCAAAUCCCCUAUGCGCGAGUUCGAUUCUCGCCCACGCCU